rnacentral:sRNA from 1 species
CCGUCUCAAUCUGCUGGGGACAAAUGAAGUGAAUGUGGGCGUCGAUGCCGCCUGCGGUGAGGAUCAUGCCCUCGCCCGCGAUCGCUUCGGUGCUGGGGCCAAUAAUGAUGUCUACAUGGUCUUGAAUGUAGGGGUUGCCCGCUUUGCCGAUUUUGGUGAUGCGGCCAUCUUUGAUACCGAUGUCGGCUUUGACGAUGCCCCACCAGUCCAAAAUCAAGGCGUUGGUGAUGACGGUAUCAACUGCCCCAUCCGCCCGCGAGAUGGGCGAUUGCCCCAUGCCAUCGCGA